CGGCCUCCGGUUGUAACCUUUUUUAGUAGGGAAGAAGCCCAAGUGUCGGUACCUGCAGAAAAAGCACCGGCUAACUUCGUGCCAGCAGCCGCGGUAAUACGUAGGGUGCAAGCGUUGUCCGAAUUUAUUGGGCGUAAAGAGCUCGUAGGCGGCUUGUCGCGUCUGCUGUGAAAACCCGAGGCUCAACCUCGGGCUUGCAGUGGGUACGGGCAGGCUAGAGUGCGUAGGGGAGAUUGGAAUUCCUGGUGUAGCGGUGGAAUGCGCAGAUAUCAGGAGGAACACCGAUGGCGAAGGCAGAUCUCUGGGCCGCUACUGACGCUGAGGAGCGAAAGCAUGGGGAGCGAACAGGAUUAGAUACCCUGGUAGUCCAUGCCGUAAACGUUGGGAACUAGAUGUAGGGCCUGUUCCACGGGUUCUGUGUCGUAGCUAACGCAUUAAGUUCCCCGCCUGGGGAGUACGGCCGCAAGGCUAACACUCAAAGGAAUUGACGGGGGCCCGCACAAGCGGCGGAGCAUGCGGAUUAAUUCGAUGCAACGCGAAGAACCUUACCAAGGCUUGACAUAUAGAAGAACGGGCGAGAGAUCGUCAACUCUUUGGACACUUCUAUACAGGUGGUGCAUGGUUGUCGUCAGCUCGUGUCGUGAGAUGUUCGGUUAAGUCCGGCAACGAGCGCAACCCUCGUCCUAUGUUGCCAGCACGUUAUGGUGGGAACUCAUGGGAUACUGCCGUGGUCAUCACGGAGGAAGGUGGGGAUGACGUCAAAUCAUCAUGCCCCUUAUGUCUUGGGCUUCACGCAUGCUACAAUGGCCGGUACAAUGGGCUGCGAUACCGCGAGGUGGAGCGAAUCCCAAAAAGCCGGUCUCAGUUCGGAUUGGGGUCUGCAACUCGACCCCAUGAAGUCGGAGUCGCUAGUAAUCGCAGAUCAGCAACGCUGCGGUGAAUACGUUACGGUUACCUUGUUACGACUU
rnacentral:rRNA from 1 species